UACCAGACUCCUACGGGAGGCAGCAGUGAGGAAUAUUGGUCAAUGGGCGCGAGCCUGAACCAGCCAAGUCGCGUGAGGGAAGACGGUCCUAUGGAUUGUAAACCUCUUUUGUCGGGGAGCAAAAGACGCCACGUGUGGCGUUCCGAGAGUACCCGAAGAAAAAGCAUCGGCUAACUCCGUGCCAGCAGCCGCGGUAAUACGGAGGAUGCGAGCGUUAUCCGGAUUUAUUGGGUUUAAAGGGUGCGUAGGCGGAAUGCCAAGUCAGGGGUAAAAUCGCGGGGCUCAACCUCGCUCCGCCGUUGAAACUGGGGAUCUUGAGUGGGCGAGAAGUAUGCGGAAUGCGUGGUGUAGCGGUGAAAUGCAUAGAUAUCACGCAGAACUCCGAUUGCGAAGGCAGCAUACCGGCGCCCGACUGACGCUGAGGCACGAAAGCGUGGGGAUCGAACAGGAUUAGAUACCCCGGUAC
rnacentral:rRNA from 1 species